GUGAGUUGGAAGCAGACGUUCCGCGAUGCCUUAUUUAUAGCACGAGGCCAAUCAAUCAUGCGUGCUUUCACGUCGACGUGCCUAUGUGGAGGUGAUAUUAUCCUCAUCAUCAUCAUCAUCAUCAUCAUGAGGACUCCCUAUCGUGACGUUACUCACUGUGUCUGUAUGCAGUGCUCCAUGGAGCGCAUGCUGCGAGCACAUGGAAAGGAGGUCGAGAUUUGUGUUUGAAAGGCACGCACCUAUCUGAAAUAGAAUAGAACUAAUAAUGCACAAAACGGAGUCAGGGAACGGGAUGGCUGUUGACGACCCUGCCCUUUCUGCUAUACUCAGCUGUCAAUCAACCAGGAUCAGCAGAUCUCUAAUCAAGACAUGGACCUGGAUGCAAAGACUGAACAGGUGGACCUGAGCCCUAGGACCCUGUCUCAGGACUACUCGGCAUGAUGGCUCCUUGCUGUCCCCAGUCCAACUGGCCGUGCUGCUGCUCCAGUUUCAACUGUUCUGCCUGUGGUUAUGGAACCCUGACCUGUUCACU